UGUAAGCGUAUACCAAAGUUGUUGCAGUUAAAACGCUCGUAGUCGGAAUUUGGCAGUUCCGGAUGUGUGCACGUCGUGUGCGCACUUCGCGGGGAUUGCUUUUGUGGUCUUGCGUAGGAUGAGGCACUUUUAUUAGUGAACGUCCUCACGCAACCACUUUUUACUGUGAGAAAAUCAGAGUGCUCAAAGCAGGCAUUUGCCGUGAAUGUAUUAGCAUGGAAUAAUAGAAUAAGACUUGGUUCUAUUUUGUUGGUUUGUUGGGACUGAGUAAUGAUUAAGAGGGACAGUUGGGGGCAUUUGUAUUUCGGUGCUAGAGGUGAAAUUCUUAGAUUACCGAAAGACAAACUGCUGCGAAAGCGUCUGCCAAGGAUGUUUUCAUUGA
rnacentral:rRNA from 1 species